rnacentral:rRNA from 1 species
CGUAGGUGGCCUGACAUGUCRACUGUGAAAACCCGGAGCYCAACUCCGGACUUGCAGUUGAAACUGCCAGGCUUGAGGACGGUAGAGGARGACGGAACUGCCAGUGUAGGGGUAAANUCCUUAGAUAUUGGCAGGAACGCCGGUGACGAAGGUGGUUUUCUGGGCCGGUUYUGACACUGAUGCUCGAAAGCCAGGGGAGCGAACGGGAUUAGAUACCCCGGUAGUCCUGGCCCUAAACGAUGUUCACUAGGUGUGGGGAGCGGAAAGCUYUCCGUGCUAAAGCUAACGCGAUAAGUGAACCGCCUGGGGAGUACGCCCGCAAGGGUGAAACUCAAAGGAAUUGACGGGGGCCCGCACARGCGGUGGAGCGUGUGGUUUAAUUCGAUGCUAAGCGAAGGACCUUACCAAGGUUUGACAUGCUGAUAGUAGUGA